GCCGCGCGCGGUAGGGCUGGGCUGGGUUCUGGACACCGCGCGGCAGCUCACAGUCCUCGGGCUCCCGCCGCAGCGCUCCCAGCCCGGCCUUUCAAGCAAUCACAUGGUGCUGCAGAGACUCACCCCGGACGCUUUUAAAGAGGACUCCUGGGAGCCCUGGUCUGGCCUCCAGCAACCCCUCACCCCUCACGGCAAAGCAUCUCUUCUGCAGGACUUCAGAAUGCCCCCUGUGGGAUCUCCCAAAGCAAUGAGGAUGCUGAGGCUCCGGGAAGUGACCCAGCCUCCCCGGAUCGCCUGUCAGUGUCACCGGCCCUGCGCUCCUUUUCCUUCCUCCUCCCUCUUCGUAGCACAGCGCUAAGCCAUAAGGCAUCCAGUUCAAUCCCCUCAUGUUAUAGAUAAAGAAGCAGGCUCAGGGAAGGAAGGGACUUCGAAAGGUCACAGGGCAAAUCCUAACAGGACUUGCCUAACAAAAUACGAAACCCAGGCUCCUGACUCUCUCCACUGUCCAGACUCCUCCCCUGGCCACCUUCUGCCAGUUUCGGUUUAGGCAGUGCACUGGUAUUAACUAAUGACCAGACCCUGGAAACAGAUGAAUGUCUCAUAGAGAUCCCAACCUGAGAAAUCCUUUUUGUCGGUAUUGGGCAAGGGUCCUAGGAGGGCAAAGAGAGUUAGGCUGGGGACCCCAAUGUUACCUAGCCACAACCCAACCCGGCCUCUGGAGGUCCUUGCCCCUCAUUGGAUCACAGAAUGCAAGGAAAAGGGUUCUGCCCAGAGGAGGAAGCUACUUGGAGAAAUUGGGAAGUGUAAACUCCUCUUCCUCCUCACCCCCCUCCACUUCCCCUGCUGACUUUGUCAACACGCCCAGCAGCACCUGA
rnacentral:lncRNA from 1 species